UAGUACGGCGAGUGAAGCGGGAAGAGCUCAAAUUUGAAAGCUGGCGCCUUCGGCGUCCGCGUUGUAAUCUCGAGGAGUGUUUUCCGUGCUGGACCAUGUACAAGUUCCUUGGAAUAGGACGUCAUAGAGGGUGAAAAUCCCGUACUUGAUGUGGCCGCCCAGUGCUUUGUGAUACACUUUCCAUGAGUCGAGUUGUUUGGGAAUGCAGCUCAAAAUGGGUGGUAAAUUCCAUCUAAAGCUAAAUAUUGGGGAGAGACCGAUAGCGAACAAGUACCGUGAGGGAAAGAUGAAAAGCACUUUGGAAAGAGAGUUAAAUAGUACGUGAAAUUGUCGAAAGGGAAGCGCUUGAAGUUAGACAUGCUAGUUGGAAUUCAGCCUUGCUUUUGCUUGGUGCAUUUUCCGGUUAGCAGGCCAGCAUCAGUUUUGCCUGUCGGAUAAGGGUAGGAGGAAUGUGGCCCCUCGGGGUGUUAUAGCCUCUUACUGGAUACGACGGGUGGGACUGAGGACAGCAGUGCGCCUUUAUGGCGGGCCUUCGGGCACCUUCGCACUUAGGAUGCUGGCGUAAUGGCUUUAAGCGACCCGUCUUGA
rnacentral:rRNA from 1 species